CCGACACGCGCACUCUGCGUGCUUUGCAGGCACAACGAUCCCCCUCCUGCCCCUACCUCUCAUCAUCACUCCGUACUGGUCGUAUCUUUCAUCAGACAACUUGCGGGCCCCGACUCUUCUUCGCCUGCACACACGCACACACACACCCUUGCUUUGGAUCUCACCCAGCCUCUCCUUUGGUGUUUUGGCCGUAUGUGUUCCACCGUGGUCCUUUUCUCCUCCCAACCCUUUCCCCUUGUCUCUCUCUCUCUCUGAUUUUGUUCUUAUCGUCACUGGAUCAUCGCUCUCCGUUUACUUUGCUGGUGCGGCCCCCCUCCCUAACGAUCUCUCGAUCUGCAUAGAAGCCUUCGCGACUGACCGACAGACGCCGCGACACGCUGCUCAUCUCUUCGCCACCUCCUCUCCUGCGACUCUCAUCAUGCCAUGUAGGGAGCCCACUGACUCCAGCAGCGUCACGUUGCCGGCGUCCAUGCAGACACUGCUGCAACGUUACACAGACCGUAAGCUGACGGAGGAGGAGCGUCUUAUCCUCGCGCACGCCACACCGAAUGUGCGAUGCGAAGCGUUGCGCAUUUUCUUUGAAAUGAACGACGCCGCAGCCGGCGUGGAGUAUGUUUUGGCCAACAGUGGGGCUUCUCCCCGCUCUCACGGCGGCACCAGCGCCAGGGCCUCGCGCUCCGGCGGCACCUCCACCACCGCCCCCGCUGCGGCGCCGGUUUUGGCUGCUUCCAAAGCUCUCAAGUCGCUGUCGACCAACACGCUGAAUGCCGCAAACGCAGGAGCGAAGUCUAGGGAUGCCGCUGCUUCCGGUGCGAAUAGGCCUCUUGCUGCGUCGGCACCAAGCGGCAAUGCCGCUUUCAGAGACGAGGUGCGCAAGCCCGCCGGCACCGGACGCGCCGUCGUGCCCGCCAGUGGCAGCACCGCGCUAUCGCCGGCGGCAAAGGCCGGGAGCUGUUUGCAUCGCACGCGUGUGGCGCGGAGCGGCGAGUCCGUGUGCACCCUCGUCACCGUCUCCUCCAUGUCGAGCGAGGACAGCGGCGACGACGCUGAGCUCCGACCGGCCGAGACCCCAGCGAGGGAAGAGGGGGCGGAGGCGGUCAUGCCGCCCACCGUGACGCUGCGCUCUCGUGAUCCCCGCGCCAACGCCGGGGCGGCUGCCGUUGUGCCCGCUGUGCCACUCUUAGCGCUGCAUGCUGUUCUAAAGCAGCACGGCAGUAACAGCAACAGCUCCGCAAGCUCUCCCAGUGCUGGUGUCGCGCACAGCGAGUGUCGGCCCUCGGUGAGCCCUGCGAUGACCAACACCACCACUGCCGCCGCCACGGCGCAGCCUCGAGACGUUUCUCCCUCCAUCGUACCGCCGCCAGGUUGCCAGCGUCUGUCUCCGGCGGUACCGAAGCCGAGCACCACGGCGACCGCUGCUGCUCCAGGUUCUACGCCGGCCGCACCUCCGUCGCUGCCGUCCACCGCCCACGAGGACGCUGGCGACGACGAGGAGCCGCGAAAGACGGUGGCUGCUAAGCCCACGGGGUACUACGCGAACCCCACAGCUACGCACACCUCACCAGUCCCGCAUCCGCGGCAGCCGUGCUACGCCGGCCUCGUGGACUCCAAGCCGACGGCCGUGCGGGGUGCGCACCGGCGCGAUCGCACCUCGACCUUCGGCGAGCCCCAAGGGGGUGUCGAUGUGGACUACAGGGAGCUGCCGUGCAAUCACAGCAGCCCCUCUCCCUCCUGGACGCCGCCGUCGCUGGCUGGCAGUGGCGCUGUGAGUAAGUGCGGCACGGACUGGGCUGCACUAGUCGCAGCGGCACCUGCGCCGCAACUGCCGACGGUUCCGGCGGUGGUGACGACAGAACCUGCGGCGGCAGUGCCAGCGUCUCCCUGGAAGGACCAUCGCACGGCACCGAAGGAAGCAGCCGACACCACCCCUGCCUCUGGCCUUUGCUCUCCUCGCCUGCCCACCGAGGCAUCGCGCGACCAGCCUAAGAGAACGCGCGGCAGUGGGUUCGACGAUACGGCAACCGCGGCCAACAACAGUGACAGAGCGGGCAAGACUCAGCAGUCGCCGCGCGCGCCGCGCGUGCCCUUGACAGACAGGAAGCGCGAAGCGGAGGGUAGCGACAGCCACUCGCCCUGCAACGUGCGACACCCAGGCAGUGGUACACCCCAGCUGUCACCGCCGCCUCCCCCGUCGAAGCUCGGCGGCGCCUCCCCGAUCAAGCGCGGUGCUGCUUGGGAUGAGACGACGGGCAUGUACAUAACGCAUCCGAAUCAGCUUCGGCGGCAGAGGGCUGCUCGCAGCGUCGCCACGGCUGCCUUGACAGCGCGACUGUCUGCAGCGGUGUGCGGUGUUAGCGGCUCUGCGAUGGAGCCCCCAGACACGCUUCACUACCACUUCGCUCGCACCGCGUCGUCGACACCAGAUUCAGCGCUGCUCACCUCCAUGCCCACCGCCACCGCCGCGGCACACGCGGCAGGAUCGGUUCCCCUGGGCCGCUUGUGCUCUUCGGCUGUGCAUAUUGCUGGGGGUGCAGAUGCGACCUCAGCACGAUCGUGGGCUGCAGCGCUGCCGUCGUCGAAGGACGACAAGCAGAAGAAACGGAAGCAGGAGACGAAGCGGGCCAAGGUGCUGACUGGAGCGUCAACCUGGAAGAGGCCGAUCGAGACCAAGAAAACGGCGACGGCACUAGCUGUCUCUCCAGCGGUGGUGCCGAUCGUGGCAAGCCCGCGUUUGACAAGGUACCAGCGGGUUUGCUGCGAGGACGUGCCCGUCAAGUACGACUUCUACGGGCACAGCGGGAAGACGAUUAUGCUGCAGCGCCAAGCCUCGCAGUAUCCUACUCAGAUGCUUGCGGCUGCGGCCAGCGGCUCACCAAGCAAGCCCCAUCGCACCGCCUCCGCUAGCCAAACGGUGCGGUCUGCGGCGCCAGUGGCGCGGACUGAGCGAUGCUACAGUGUGAUGAAAGGUGGUGGGGUUGAGGUGGUCGAAGUGGAGACAGCUCAGCCGAGUGCGCAGGCGCCUUGCCCCUCGACCAUCCGCACUCCACGCAGCGCGCGCUUCCGUCCCCAGCAGCAUCCACGUGGGCUUGUGGGAGAGCCCGCUGCCGCUAUGGUCUCCGCGCGUGGUAGCGCCGCUGAGCGUGCUUGUCAGGCACCUGGAGCUGCGGUGCCGGUCUGUGCUGCUCUGGUGCCGCCGGCGCACUGCAGCGUCUUUGAGCGGCUGACUUCCAACUACUACGAUGUCUACUCGAGCGAGGUGGCCCUUCAGGCGACCCGCCGCCGCCGAUGACGGCUUUACCGCGAGGAUGUCGCUCUGCCCAGGAGCAUCGCCGGUCGGCACGCCGCCGCCACUUCGGUGCACCGGCGGCUAGCCCGCGCGGACGCCUUGUGCGUCGGCCUGCAGCCGCGCUGGUGGCGGGCGACGACUGUCUCCGUGCGGAGGAGAUGGCGAAGCGCGAGCGGGAGCGCACCACUGCACCUGCGGCAAGUGCGUUUGCGCGCAGCAACACACCUUGCUACCUCGUUUGCUGAGGCGCACCAUCGCGCUGCGGACCUGCUGGUGUGUUGGAGAAAGCAACCCCACGUGUUCGCGUUCCUUGCUUUUCCUGCGUUUCGUGGUACAGGCGCUCUUUGAGGAAAGUAGAUGGCAGGCCACCACAAAAGGGAGUGAUCGCCAUGGCGGCGGACUUUUCGUUUUUUUUUGGUAUUGUUUACUUUGCCCGCUUCCGUUUUACAUAUAUUAUUUUCUGUCGAUGGAUUGAUUUCGCUUAGAUCUCCUAGACUCAUGCGUUCAUCCCUCCCACAUCCACACACACACACACACACACACGUGGUCGUGGGCAUGUGCGCGCGUUUUUCUUCCUAACUUGCGUGCCUCCUUCUAUCUAUUUCUGCCAAGCGUGUUUACGUGCGCGCUCUAGUCGUUUUCGGCGUUCGUUCUUGUGAUGAUGGUGCGACUUCGGUUGCUGGUCUUGUGCCUGCCCUGGUUUUUCUCCUCCCCGGAACGUAGGGGAGGCGGAGGGUGUGGGGGCGGAGGUUGACAUCGACCUCGCUGUUCUUUGUUUUACAUUUAUGUAUGUGUCGUCGUUCCCCGACUGCGGUGGUGCGCUCCAUCUCUCCGUCUUUCUUUCUCGCUCGCUUCUCUGUUUUCCUGUUCGUGUGUGGCGCGGCGACAAGCGCUGCAGCCUUUUUGUGCGUGAGCUAUUUUACAGCAUCACCACGUGCGCUGUGCAUGCGCGCGCUCGCACUCUCGAUCCUUCGGCCCCUGGGCCUGUGUAGGCUUCUUCGCUUCCAUGAACGCGCCAUGAGGGCAAAAGUCUUGCGUACGUGCAAGAAGAAAGCGAGAGCGGCUCAAAGCCGCAGAAGGUGGCGCGGAAGUCUUCGGUGUGCUGAUAAGCCAUGCCGAGGCAGCCUAAGCGGCCGUGGCAAAGUGGGCCAAGCGCAACGAAAAGUGCACCCGCCCGUUUGGAUGUGCAGCGUGUGGGUCUUGCCCCCUCCCAG
rnacentral:misc_RNA from 1 species